UAAUAAGUGUUUUAUGGCACUUUUUAAAUCCAUAUCCACCUUGUGUGCAAUGUCAGUCGAUCUUCUUCAUGGAGACUUGACCAAACAUCAACCUUUAUCUUUUAACUCUUUGUCUGAAAAAUAUUAUGAAUAAACAAUUCAAAAUA
rnacentral:misc_RNA from 1 species